UAAUUCAGAAUUGAGUAAAGAAAUAUUUUUUCUAGUCCUUCAUAUAUUGAAAACUUGCCACAUGACAUUGUAUCGUCUUCAUUUUCCAGAAGAUGCGUUGGUGUGCCAUAGGUUUCUAACUUCCUUGAAAAUAGUUUUUUAAGUCAAUUGUAAAUAUACGUAUUAUUGUUAAAAGUAACUUUAAACUGCAACACAUAGCUUCAAAACAAUAUAGAGAUUUUGUAAUACCUUAUAAGUGGAGUUGGCUAAAAUACCUUAUCCAUAUAAAACUUAUUCUAUUCUUUGCAUGCUUAUUUUGUGUGUUGGUUGCUAGCUUAAAGUUUGAUUUGUUGUUACUCUUUGUGUGCCAAAUUCACUAGGCAAGCGGAUUUUUCCUCAGACUUCAAAAAAUAAUUCUUUUAAGAAAAAAUGUAAAAAUGUUUAUUCUAAAAAGCUGCAUUAAAGGGACAACCUAUAAAAAGUUUUGCUAGCUCAUCUUUAGAAGGAAGAAAGAAUAUUAGCUUGGGUGAUGUUUAAUUUGGGUGGCGAUAGUUUCUGUAGGCUAAACUUUAUGAGAAAAGUGUACCUACUCUAUAAAGGUAAUAAAUGUAAAACCUCUUGCUGUUAUUGAGGAAGCUCUUCAACUACCCUAAAUUUCACAAAUGUAACUUAUAACACUAUGAAAAGAUUUGACCAACAAUUUACGUUUGCUGUGUGCUUUAGUUUUUGUUUAAGCAUAUUCUUUUGCUUGAAUUUCUGUGUUCAUGAGAGUUAGGGUGUUUUAUGCUUCUUGAACUAAUUUUAUAACAUAUUUAAUAUAUUACCAGUUAAGAUAUAAAAUCAUUUGUACAUAGCGAAUUGUAAAGCAGCUAUUAAAGUAGGUGAAAUAAAGUAUAUAUUUGCCGGUUAUCCAUAUCUUUUAGAAGUCCUGACAGAACAACCAGUUUAUUUGCACAUAGGUAGCUUCUGUUUGAAGGAAGGUAAAGUUAUAAGGAAACUCAAAUACUAUAAGAUGUGUCAAGGUAUUUCUCCAGAAUUAAUUGCAAAGCUAGUGCUGAAGGAUUUUAAUCAGCUUCUAAAAUUUUCUUCUCAAUAAGGCAUAUGUUUUGAUUACUUAGGGAAGAUUCCUCAUUUUUAUUUGCCCUUUAUGCAUUUAAUCCACAUGAUAGGACAUUAAAAAUUAAUAUAAAGAAAAAUCGUGCUCAUACUGUACAUCUGUUUCUGUGCUUGGAACUACUUGUUAAUAGUUUUUAUCGAAGCUGUCAGCAAUAAGGGACAUAAAACUGCUGUAUUAUACAUUGUGGAAUUGAAUAAACAGCCUAAUUUUUUUUUUCUAGUAUAGGGUACUUAAGCAUUUCCACUUUUGGAAGAAAAGUGUAUUAGUAUUUUAUAUUGCAUUUCAUUUAAAAGGACAGUUUUUUUUUUUUUUUUGUAAAUCCAUUCAUUGAAAUGGUUUCUAAACUGUAUAAUGUAAUUUGGAGCCUAUUUAGUAAUAGAAUUAAAUGUCCUAUGUAGUGCUACAAUUUUUGAAUUAGAAAGUGAUCAAAUGUAAGAAAAAAAUUUAAAAAUUCAGCCCAGAAAACAAAAUAGUGUAUUAAAUUAGUUUAAUGUAAAAGGAAUUUAUAAGAUUUUUUUCCUCAAUAUAGAUACCUCACUUGAAAAGAAAGCACAGCAUACUUAAAGUAGUUCUAGUAAACAUGUCCUAGAAAACAGUUGCUAAAUGUAGGACAUCUUUUGAGGAAUUAGUUUAUGAGAAAUAAAAUUUUACUUGUUUUUACUAUCCUGUUAGAAGUAUUUGUUUAUCCUGAUAAUUUUAAGCCAACAUAGUAGUCUUAAAUUACUUUUGAAUUUCUAAUCUGUGAAGGCAGUAAAUGAAAUAUCUGUUCUGCAACUGUUGAAACAAAUAAUUGGCUACAUUGACCAUAAUUAAAGUUAAAAUUUUGCCAAUGAUGUACAGUUUUAUGGUUAAAGUUGCUGUGGUUGGUUGCAUUACAUGACACAGAAAACUGUCCUCUACCUCACGUGAAAUAAAUAUUUUAUAUGGUUUUACUAAAAAUAAGACUCAUGUAUCUGGUCACCUAGUUUACAAAUUUUGAAUUAUAUUUAUUGAAACAUGACAUACUGUGCUCUGAGCUUAUACCUCAAUUGUAUUUUGUGCUGUUUUCCAUUUUCAUGCCUUGUAAAUAACUUGUAUAGAUUGUGGAUCAAAUACUAAAUAAAAACUUUUAAUGCCAAAAAAAAAAAAAAAA
rnacentral:lncRNA from 1 species